rnacentral:rRNA from 1 species
AGCGAACGCUGGCGGCAGGCCUAACACAUGCAAGUCGAGCGCCCCGCAAGGGGAGCGGCAGACGGGUGAGUAACGCGUGGGAACGUACCUUCUGGUUCGGAAUAACUCAGGGAAACUUGAGCUAAUACCGAAUAAGUCCUUCGGGAGAAAGAUUUAUCGCCGGAAGAUCGGCCCGCGUAAGAUUAGCUAGUUGGUGAGGUAACGGCUCACCAAGGCUACGAUCUUUAGCUGGUCUGAGAGGAUGAUCAGCCACAUUGGGACUGAGACACGGCCCAAACUCCUACGGGAGGCAGCAGUGGGGAAUAUUGGACAAUGGGCGCAAGUCUGAUCCAGCCAUGCCGCGUGAAUGAUGAAGGUCUUAGGAUUGUAAGAUUCUUUCACCGGGGACGAUAAUGACGGUACCCGGAGAAGAAGCCCCGGCUAACUUCGUGCCAGCCGCCGCCGUAACAC